AACGAACGCUGGCGGCAUGCCUAACACAUGCAAGUCGAACGAGACCUUCGGGUCUAGUGGCGCACGGGUGCGUAACGCGUGGGAACCUGCCCUUAGGUUCGGAAUAACUCCCCGAAAGGGGGCUAAUACCGGAUAAUGUCUUCGGACCAAAGAUUUAUCGCCUUUGGAUGGGCCCGCGUUGGAUUAGCUAGUUGGUAGGGUAAAAGCCUACCAAGGCGACGAUCCAUAGCUGGUCUGAGAGGAUGAUCAGCCACACUGGGACUGCGACACGGCCCAGACUCCUACGGGAGGCAGCAGUGGGGAAUAUUGGACAAUGGGCGAAAGCCUGAUCCAGCAAUGCCGCGUGAGUGAUGAAGGCCUUAGGGUUGUAAAGCUCUUUUACCCGGGAUGAUAAUGACAGUACCGGGAGAAUAAGCGCCGGCUAACUCCGUG
rnacentral:rRNA from 1 species